GACGAACGCUGGCGGCGUGCUUAACACAUGCAAGUCGAACGAUGAAGCCUAGCUUGCUAGGUGGAUUAGUGGCGAACGGGUGAGUAAUACGUGAGUAACCUACCUUUAACUCUGGGAUAAGCCUGGGAAACUGGGUCUAAUACCGGAUACGACCAAUCUCCGCAUGGGGUGUUGGUGGAAAGCGUUAUGUAGUGGUUAUAGAUGGGCUCACGGCCUAUCAGCUUGUUGGUGAGGUAACGGCUCACCAAGGCGACGACGGGUAGCCGGCCUGAGAGGGUGACCGGCCACACUGGGACUGAGACACGGCCCAGACUCCUACGGGAGGCAGCAGUGGGGAAUAUUGCACAAUGGGCGCAAGCCUGAUGCAGCGACGCCGCGUGAGGGAUGACGGCCUUCGGGUUGUAAACCUCUGUUAGCAGGGAAGAAGAGAAAUUGACGGUACCUGCAGAGAAAGCGCCGGCUAACUACGUGCCAGCAGCCGCGGUAAUACGUAGGGCGCGAGCGUUGUCCGGAAUUAUUGGGCGUAAAGAGCUUGUAGGCGGUUUGUCGCGUCUGCUGUGAAGGCCGGGGCUUAACCCCGUGUAUUGCAGUGGGUACGGGCAGACUAGAGUGCAGUAGGGGAGACUGGAAUUCCUGGUGUAGCGGUGGAAUGCGCAGAUAUCAGGAGGAACACCGAUGGCGAAGGCAGGUCUCUGGGCUGUAACUGACGCUGAGAAGUGAAAGCAUGGGGAGCGAACAGGAUUAGAUACCCUGGUAGUCCAUGCCGUAAACGUUGGGCACUAGGUGUGGGGAACAUUCCACGUUUUCCGCGCCGUAGCUAACGCAUUAAGUGCCCCGCCUGGGGAGUACGGCCGCAAGGCUAAAACUCAAAGAAAUUGACGGGGGCCCGCACAAGCGGCGGAGCAUGCGGAUUAAUUCGAUGCAACGCGAAGAACCUUACCAAGGCUUGACAUAUACUGGACCGCAUCAGAGAUGGUGUUUCCCUUCGGGGCUGGUGUACAGGUGGUGCAUGGUUGUCGUCAGCUCGUGUCGUGAGAUGUUGGGUUAAGUCCCGCAACGAGCGCAACCCUCGUUCUAUGUUGCCAGCACGUAAUGGUGGGGACUCAUAGGAGACUGCCGGGGUCAACUCGGAGGAAGGUGGGGAUGACGUCAAAUCAUCAUGCCCCUUAUGUCUUGGGCUUCACGCAUGCUACAAUGGCCGGUACAGAGGGUUGCGAUACUGUGAGGUGGAGCUAAUCCCUAAAAGCCGGUCUCAGUUCGGAUUGGGGUCUGCAACUCGACCCCAUGAAGUCGGAGUCGCUAGUAAUCGCAGAUCAGCAACGCUGCGGUGAAUACGUUCCCGGGCCU
rnacentral:rRNA from 1 species